rnacentral:rRNA from 1 species
UAGUGGAUGCCUUGGCAUUGAGAGGCGAUGAAGGACGUGAUAGACUGCGAUAAGCUGCGGGGAAGAGUCAAUAUCUGUUGAUCCGUAGAUUUCCGAAUGGGGAAACCCACUUGAGAUAACUCAAGUAUCUUUAUCUGAAUUCAUAGGAUAAAUGAAGCGAACGCGGGGAACUGAAACAUCUAAGUACCCGUAGGAAAAGAAAUCAACCGAGAUUCCCUUAGUAGCGGCGAGCGAACGGGGACCAGCCCUUA